GGAGUAGUACUCAAGUUGGCUGAAGAGGUGCCCCUGCUAAGGGUAUAGGUCGUUCGCGCGGCGCGAGAGUUCGAAUCUCUCCUACUCCG
rnacentral:tRNA from 1 species